GGGAGGGGGAUGCACACUGUCUUCACGGAGCUCACAGAGGUGAAGGACAGAGAGGGGUGUAAGAACGAGUGACGGACAAACGGGACACGAAGGUGCAGGGAAGGCUUGGCUCCGAGAGCCAAAGGAAGAAACCCAAUUGCCCCAAGGGUCCCUGUCGCCAUCCGUGUGAGCAGAGCCACCCUGUAUGUAGCUGGACUACUCUGAGGUUGUCACGCUGGAGAGGCCACAUGCAUGGGAGCUCUGGAUGAUGGAACCUGCUGAGCCCAGCCUUCCAGUCAUGCCAAGAUGUCAGACAUAAGAGUGAAG